rnacentral:rRNA from 1 species
GAGUAUACAUCGGAACGUGUCCUGGAGUGGGGGAUAGCCCGGCGAAAGCCGGAUUAAUACCGCAUACGCUCUAUGGAGGAAAGCGGGGGAUCUUCGGACCUCGCGCUCAAGGGGCGGCCGAUGGCAGAUUAGCUAGUUGGUGGGGUAAAGGCCUACCAAGGCGACGAUCUGUAGCUGGUCUGAGAGGACGACCAGCCACACUGGGACUGAGACACGGCCCAGACUCCUACGGGAGGCAGCAGUGGGGAAUUUUGGACAAUGGGGGCAACCCUGAUCCAGCAAUGCCGCGUGUGUGAAGAAGGCCUUCGGGUUGUAAAGCACUUUUGUCCGGAGAGAAAACUUCUGGGUUAAUACCCCGGGAGGAUGACGGUACCGGAAGAAUAAGCACCGGCUAACUACGUGCCAGCAGCCGCGGUAAUACGUAGGGUGCAAGCGUUAAUCGGAAUUACUGGGCGUAAAGCGUGCGCAGGCGGUUCGCUAAGACAGAUGUGAAAUCCCCGGGCUUAACCUGGGAACUGCAUUUGUGACUGGCGGGCUAGAGUAUGGCAGAGGGGGGUAGAAUUCCACGUGUAGCAGUGAAAUGCGUAGAGAUGUGGAGGAAUACCGAUGGCGAAGGCAGCCCCCUGGGCCAAUACUGACGCUCAUGCACGAAAGCGUGGGGAGCAAACAGGAUUAGAUACCCUGGUAGUCCACGCCCUAAACGAUGUCAACUAGUUGUCGGGUCUUCAUUGACUUGGUAACGUAGCUAACGCGUGAAGUUGACCGCCUGGGGAGUACGGUCGCAAGAUUAAAACUCAAAGGAAUUGACGG